CUUUGAGUGUGUGAUCUUGCUCUGCAAUGCUGACCAUUCCAUUGUUUCCUCCUUUGCCUGUUGCAUCUAUAGACUGUCAAGCUGAAUAUGAAGUGCCAUCCAAAAUCUGAGGGAUGAGGAGUGGCGCAUGCUUUCAGAAGUCUUAAAAGAGCAACACUCUGAUGUGGAAACUACAGAACCAGAACUACCAAAAAAGAAAAUCAGCAUUCUGCUAGUGGCAUCUGACUCAGAUAAUGAAAAUGAACAUGUGUUGGUCCACACUGUUUUGGAUUGUUAUCGAGCAGAACCCGUCAUCAGCAUGGACACGUGUCCCUUAGAAUGGUAGUUGAAGUAUGAAGGGACAUAUGAACCUUUAGUGCAUCUGGCACGUAAAUAUCUUGCGACGCCGGCUACAACAGAGCCAUGAGAAUGCCUGUUCUCACUUUCAGGUGACAUUGUAAGCAAGAAGCAGGCAGCAUUAUCUCCCGUAAAUGUAAACAAACUUGUUUGUCUGAGUGAUUGGCUGAACAAGAAGUAGGUCUGAGUGGACUUGCAGGCUCUAAAAUUUGACAUUGCUUUAUUUUUGAAUGGAGGUUUGUUUUUCUUUGUAUAUAAUUCUACAUUUGUAAAUUCAGCUUUCAUGAUAAAGAGAUUGCACUAUAGUACUUGUGUUAGGUGAAUUGAAAAAUAUUAUUUCUUUUGUUUUUUUAAAGUGCAAAUACUUCUAAUCAAAAAUAAAUGUAAAGUGAGCGUUGUA